UACGUAGGGGGCAAGCGUUGUCCGGAAUCAUUGGGCGUAAAGAGCGUGUAGGCGGUCCGGUAAGUCGGUUGUGAAAGUCCAGGGCUCAACCCUGGGAUGCCGACCGAUACUGUCGGACUAGAGUUCGGAAGAGGCGAGUGGAAUUCCCGGUGUAGCGGUGAAAUGCGUAGAUAUCUGGAGGAACACCGGUGGCGAAGGCGGCAUCCUGGACCAAUAUUGACGCUGAGGAGCGAAAGCCAGGGGAGCAAACGGG
rnacentral:rRNA from 1 species